AUUUUAUUACCUUUUAUUUACUUAGGGGGCAAACAGCCAUGUCCUGUGGAGGCUAAAGGUCGGCUUUCAGGAGUCCGUUCCCUCCCUCCACCAUGUGGGCUCAGAAGCUGAAAUCAGCUCAUCACAGAAGGGCUUUGCAAACCAGAUGGGCUAAUACCCCUUCCAUCUCCCAAAGCCUUUAGUCAAACACUCUGUGGGAUUCCAUGUCUCUGUCCUGUGUGCAGAAAUCAGCAAAUGCCCACAAAUGACACAGAUCAGAACUGAAGAAACAGCCGUAAGAGCGGGGGCAAUGAGCAAGACGCGGAGAAACAGAGGUAUCCCUGCAGUUGGAGUGGGACAAACUCCAGGAAGACAAGUGAGGACUAAUUCCAUUCCUCUCAAGUUUGCUAGAGCCCCUCCGACUGGCAAGGAGAAGAAGAGACUUCUGAGAGACAGACGUGGCCCAUGAGGAGUAGCCAUGAAAGCAUGGUUUAUAAGGACACAGAAGGAUCGUUUGCCUUUGCUGAAUGUGCUUUUUUUUUCUAUAGAAAGAAACAUUUAAUGAAAUUUCUUUCAAAAUUCAUCACUUUACUCUUUAACUUGUUUUUUGGCCAAAGUACACAGUCCUGGAAGGUACUAGGUAAAGACAUGUUUUUUCAAGACCUUUUAAGUUUCUUUGAUACACCAGACAUCACCAGCUAAAGAUACCAUGCAAAUCAGAAAACUCUAUUUUUUUUUUUUUUUUUUUUUUGAGGAAUGGACUGUGCUUUGCUCCUGGGAGGAGAUCUAGAGUACAUUUCCCUUACUGUACGAAAAGAGUGAGGGAAGAGAUAAGCUUUGUUCAUCAAAGAUGUGUGAACUCCUAAGACUUCCUCCAAACUUGUCGAUUCGAAGCCCAGGCCAUCCUAACGCAUCCGGAAGCCCCCCUUGCCUGUGAUGCACGCUCGCUCGGAGUGCUCCUGCAUAGUGCUUUGUACAAUGCAGGUGUAUAGGUACCAGACACUUUGGUCUCACAGCCCAGCUUCCUCUCCACCCCAGCUCACAGCCUCAGGCUCACCUUUCUUGCUGACAGUCCCUGAAGUGACCCAGAGAAGCCCCGGCCUCGCCUUCCCUUCGCUUGUGAGUGCAGAAGUCUCUCCUUGCCCAGGGCUGAGCAUAGAGGAAGUCGCUAGGCUGCCUGGGUCUUAGAGAUCAGGAAACUGAGAGAAAGGCCGGAUGAUGAUGGCUUAAAGAGACAGAAACAUUUUCCAUGUAGUUGUGGUCUUAGCAUUCCUCUAUGAAAUCACGCACUCUAUCUUCUCUGUGACUAAAGGCUGUUUGUCCAGAAGGGUUAGUAGAAUCAAACAUGUCAACAGAGCCUUCCUUGGCUGACUCUAUUCUAGAAUUGGCUACAGGUAAUCUUCCGUGUGUGUGUGUGUGUGUGUGUGUGUGUUUUGUGGUGGUGGUGGUAGUGGUGGUGGUUGUUGUUGUUUGUUUGUUGUUUUAUUUUUAUUAUUUUUGUUUCCAUUUUUCUCUUUAAGGAUUUCUCUUACUACAAAAUAGCCUCCAAUUGAGAUUGGAGGAUGACAAAUUGAAGCCCAUUCUAGGCUACUAAUCUUUUUAAGACCCCCACUUCAAAACAAAACAAACACCAAAGGCUCAGGGUUUAGCUUAUUGAUAGAGCAUUUGCCUAGAAUCAUUUGCCUAGCAUAUACAAAGUCCUAGGGUCUAUCCAGUACCAAAGAAAACAAAAAAGAAAAAUUUACAAAGAAUAGAAUAUCUAAUAUCACUAAGACUGAUAUUGGCUAUUAGUGAUUAAUCUUUAAAUUAGUGCAUGCAUAUUUUGUUCAUUCCUAUUUUACUAAAUAAAGGCUUUGAUUGGAAAUGU
rnacentral:lncRNA from 1 species